rnacentral:lncRNA from 1 species
UCCCAUAGGUGUUUUAUUGGGGGGGUUGGUCCCGCAUAGGGUUAUUGUGGGGGGUGGUCCCCCAUAGGGUUUUAUUGGGGGUUGUGUCCCGCAUAGGGUUUAUUGGGGGGGUUGGUCCCCAUAGGGUUUUAUUGGGGGGGUUGGUCCCCAUAGGGUUUUAUUGGGGGGGGUUGGUCCCCAUAGGGUUUUAUUGGGGGGGGGGUUGGUCCCCAUAG